GGCUGGGUAGCUCAGUUGGUAGAGCACCGGACUGAAAAUCCGGGUGUCGGCAGUUCAAGUCUGCCCCCAGCCA
rnacentral:tRNA from 1 species